AGGUAGUAAGUAGUAGAGCAGGGACUCAAACCCAGAGCCCAUGUGUUUGUUGACUCUGCUGCUCUGGAAUCUGCAUUUCUUGCCAAGAACUUUAAGAAUAGAACACCAGUGUUACUUCACUCCCCUUUGUGGACACCAAGAGGAAGAAGAAUAUGGUAAGCUUCCCACACAUUAGUAAGAAAGUCCUGCUGAAGUCAUCCCUGCUGUAUCAGGUGAGUGCAGAUGGACUGGACCCUGAGAAGGCAGGUGAAAGACCUGGUUUUAGUCCAAAGCCAGUUUUAGAAAAGCCCAGGAUGGUGGGGAAAAGCAUAGUAGCCGCUGAAGAGGAGAAUCAAGCUCACAAUCAGAUGCCGGCCUCAGAGCUCAAGGCUUCAGAAAUACCUUUCCACCCUAGCAUUAAAACCCAGGAUCCCAAGGCAGAGGAGAAGUCACCAAAGAAGCACAAGGUGCCUCUGACAGCCGCAGGUAUGCCUUUGGGGCAGUAGCAGGGUGGGGAGGUGGUUAUGGAAGGUCAGGGUGUUAAGAGCUAAGCUGCGCCGGAGUGAGCUAAGCUGCCAGGUGUCAGAGUAGUCAAUGAAGGCAGCCAGCCAAGAGGAAAGUAGAAGUUAAGCGUUGAACCUCUGACUGUGGUAGUAUAAGCAAGAGGCUGAAUAGGAGGCUGAAUUUCCCCCAUGGAGUGGCUCUGGGCAAGGGCGGGAUGUACCAAUGCAGACAGAAGGAAGUGUCUCAUUUGCCUAAGGAGCCCAGACACAAGGCUCCUGUCAUUUUAUGGACCCAGGGGCCAGGGGGAAGGCAGAGAGAGUGGAAGAGCUAGGAUUGGAAAGGUACUGAAUACUGAGAGCAGAGCACAGGGUGCUGAAGCUUGCUCCUUCUUCUUGAUAAGGAGGUGUUGGAGAGGAGCCUCUGUAGGGGGAUCUUGGUUAGAAAUGCAGACAUGUAGAAGAGCAUGGCCAGCCAGGGGUCUCAGUCCUUGGCUGUAGCUU
rnacentral:sRNA from 1 species